AUGGCAUGGCCAGUGCUCCAGCAGCUCCUGCUCAUCGCCGCCGCCACCACUGCGGCGGCGUCGUCCUCAGCGACGACGCCUGAUGGGCCGGCGCCCUGGCCGGAGCAGUUCCACGCGGUGCUGUUCACGAACCUGACCAACGUCUCGAUUGCUUCAACGGGCCCGCCGCUCCGCCUGCACGACCUGUACUACGACUGGCCGCGGCGGCGCAACCUGAACCUGAUCCGGCACCAGCUCUCGGGGGACCCGCUGUACGACGUGGAGUGGAACAACGGCACCACCUUCUACUUCGACUCGGCCACCUGCCGCACGCAGCAGGUCCCCGUCGGCGUGCUCCCCCCCGGGUGGCUCGCCGACGGAGGCGCCGUCUACCUCGGCCGCGAGACCACCGGCGGGAUCGACUGCCGCGUCUGGGGCAAGGCCGACUUCAUCCUCUACUACGAGGACGCGCUCACGGGGCGCCCAGUCCGCUGGAACUUCCUUGACGUGACGGGGUUACAGCAGUUCGUGAUGAGCUUCGAGGUGGGCGUGGUGCUGGAAGACGACGACCAGUGGCAGGCGCCCGCGCACUGCUUCCUGGAUGAAGCAGCCCACGGGACCAACGAGGAUGACGACCAUCUGGAUGAAUGGCAGGCGGCCAUGCUAUUCAGGAAGUUGGCUGGAGCUGCUGCCGCGUACUGA
rnacentral:rRNA from 1 species